rnacentral:rRNA from 1 species
GACGAACGCUGGCGGCGUGCUUAACACAUGCAAGUCGAACGGAAAGGCCCUGCUUUUGUGGGGUGCUCGAGUGGCGAACGGGUGAGUAACACGUGAGUAACCUGCCCUUGACUUUGGGAUAACUUCAGGAAACUGGGGCUAAUACCGGAUAGGAGCUCCUGCUGCAUGGUGGGGGUUGGAAAGUUUCGGCGGUUGGGGAUGGACUCGCGGCUUAUCAGCUUGUUGGUGGGGUAGUGGCUUACCAAGGCUUUGACGGGUAGCCGGCCUGAGAGGGUGACCGGCCACAUUGGGACUGAGAUACGGCCCAGACUCCUACGGGAGGCAGAAGUGGGGAAUAUUGCACAAUGGGCGGAAGCCUGAUGCAGCAACGCCGCGUGCGGGAUGACGGCCUUCGGGUUGUAAACCGCUUUCGCCUGUGACGAAGCGUGAGUGACGGUAAUGGGUAAAGAAGCACCGGCUAACUACGU